AUGCCUCCGAGAAAUAGGAAGUAUGCAUCAGGUAGCAAAAAAAGGAAAAAGAAGAAGGCCGCAGAUAAAUUGGUACAAUCACAACAUGGACAUGUGCACAGAUAUUUCAAGCGUACUUCCACUACUUCGAUAAACCGAGGUGAUGAGUUGGCGAUAGUUGCCAUAGAGGAAGAGCAACAGAAUAAUGUGAAUUCAGAAUCCGAUCAGCAAGAAGAAAAUGCCGACACCAAUAUCGACGACAACAAUGUAAGUGGCUCCGAGAAUAUAGGUAAUUCAUCGGAUGCACAAGAACAGUCUCCUAGUGUUGAUGAACCAGUCUAUACUCCUGAUAUUUAUGAUCCAAGAAAUUGGGAUAAUCUUGACAAUAAAGCAAGAGAUGUAUUAGUUGAGAAAGGGCCAAUGAGAGAGGAAGAGGAUAAAAUGGAAUACCGUGUAGAUGAUGCAGGAAGACAUUUUUCCUAUGUUCAUUAUCAUAGGAAAUUAAGCAACGGAGAGAAACAUGAUAGAAAAUGGCUAGUUUAUUCAGAAGGUGUUGACAAAGUUUUUUGCUUUUGUUGUAAGAUCUUCAAGUCUAGCAGUAGCAGGAGUCAGAGUUCCUUAGCACAUGAUGGAUUAGAUCAUUGGUUCAUCUGA
rnacentral:rRNA from 1 species